rnacentral:rRNA from 1 species
GUAAUGGCAGGUCAGCAUACUGCCGUGAAUACGUUCCCGGGCCUUGUACACACCGCCCGUCACACCAUGAGAGUUGGGGAUACCCGAAGCCUGUGAGCUAACAGUAAUGAAGCAGCAGUCGAAGGUAGAAUCAAUGAUUGGGGUGAAGUCGUAACAAGGUACC